rnacentral:rRNA from 2 species
CAGCCGCCGCGGUAAAACCAGCACCUCAAGUGGUCAGGAUGAUUAUUGGGCCUAAAGCAUCCGUAGCCGGCUCUGUAAGUUUUCGGUUAAAUCUGUACGCUUAACGUACAGGCUGCCGGGAAUACUGCAGAGCUAGGGAGUGGGAGAGGUAGACGGUACUCGGUAGGAAGGAGUAAAGUCCUUUGAUCUAUUGAUGACCACCUGUGGCGAAGGCGGUCUACCAGAACACGUCCGACGGUGAGGGAUGAAAGCUGGGGGAGCAAACCGGAUUAGAUACCCGGGUAGUCCCAGCUGUAAACUAUGCAAACUCAGUGAUGCAUUGGCUUGUGGCCAAUGCAGUGCUGCAGGGAAGCCGUUAAGUUUGCCGCCUGGGAAGUACGUACGCAAGUAUGAAACUUAAAGGAAUUGGCGGGGGAGCAC